GGGGAUGUAGCUCAGCUGGAAGAGCACCUGCUUUGCAAGCAGGGGGUCGUGGGUUCAAGUCCCAUCAUCUCCAC
rnacentral:tRNA from 2 species